rnacentral:misc_RNA from 1 species
UUUCCAUACUUUGCCGCUUCCAUCGUAAAUUUAGCACAAGGUGCCAGCUACCUAUGGCAGAUUGUAUGGCGCACUAGAACAGCCUCUUUCACAGAAUUCUCAGACGGUUGCGUUUUCAACAAGAAAGAUGGCCAAAGUCACUUUUGCGUUGUUUGGUUUUGGAAACAUGGGCAUGGCCCAUAUGAAGAAUAUCCUGACAUCCCCAAGGGCUUCUGUGAAGUGGGUGGUCAGAAAUAAAAUCCAGGAGGCCCAGAAGUUUGUACAGGACUACAGUCUCUCGGCGAGAUGUACCACGCCCGACAGUCUUGAGGAGCUGUACAAUGAUCCAGAAGUGAAUGCUGUCCUCAUUUGUUCCCCCACCUCCACACAUGAACCAGUCAUCCGCGACUCUCUUCUAGCAGACAAAGCUGUUUUCUGUGAAAAGCCAAUCACUGAUGCAAUAGAUUCAACAGCAGCUUGCUAUGAUCUAGCAGAGAAAGUCAAACGACCAUUGUUCAAUGCCAUGCACAGGAGGUUUGAGCCAAAUUUCUGUAGUGUGCGAGAAAAAGUGUUGAAAAAGGAACUGGGAAACCUUCGCCUGAUUAAAGUGACCAGUCGAGAUUUGGCCCCUCCCCCUAUCUCAUACAUCAAAACUUCAGGUGGUAUUAUCUAUGACUCGACAAUCCAUGACCUUGACAUGUCCUUGUGGCUAGCGGGGUCACAGCCCGAGUCCGUCUAUGUCAGUGCUUCAGCCUUUGACCCUGACAUUGCCAGCUGUGGUGACUAUGACCAGGUGGUGGUUACCAUAAAGUUCAAGAAUGGUGUGGUGUCAUCGGUGGAGAAUGGACGCGUGGCACCCUACGGCUAUGACCAAAGACUAGAGGUUUGUGUUGUGUGACAAGGGCAUGCUCCAGGUUGAUAACAAGAGGUCGGGUCUGGUGUGGGAGCACCUGGCCCAGGGAAGCUCGGUCCCUCCCAUUGACAGUCACUUCACCAACAGGUACCCUCUGGCCUAUGCCGCUGAACUGGAACACUUUCUGGAUGUCAUGCAAGGUAAAGCAGAACUACGAGUUAAGAAGGAGGACACUUUGAAUGCUAUGCGCCUGGUUCGGGCCUGUCAAAAGUCCAUUGCAGCCAAAGGUCCCGUCACCAUGGAAACAUAAAAUCUCUUUACUAUAUUUGAGUACAUUGUUAAUCUAAUUGGCAGUAAUUAAUUUUUUUGAUAUAUAUAUGUUUACAGCAAUAUGUCAAGCAGAGACAGUUUUAUAUAUAAUUAUACUUUUGAUUUUUACUGUUGAUUUCUUUUAACUGUUAUGUUGUACAUUUACAGAUGAUUCUUCGUUUACAAUGAACUAUACAAUGACAAUGAACUAUACAAUGACAAUGAAUUAUACAAUGACUGGUGCUCUACAUCUUAACUGAAUUAAUAAAUCAUGCAAUGUC